CUUGUCAAAAGUGACUCCCUUCCUAUCACUGACUUGCAGCUUAACUACAAAUUACCUUUUGUGUUUCACAUCUCUGUGUUGCUUCCUCUUGCAUGAAUUUGCCUAGUGACUUCUUUAAGCCCAGAUAUAUGUCUGAUAUCCAGGGCACCCAGUGUCAAGGAGCUCCAAUGUUUAACAGAGAAGCCUUUCCGUCUGUUAGAAUCUGAUAUUUUUGCGUGGUCAUUAAUUGUUCUUCUAUCAGGAGGGGGUCUACUUAUUGUGGAGCCUCCCUAUGUCACUCUUGAGUUUAGAAGUUUCCAGCACCUCCUGAUUUGUCUCUUGGAACUCAGUAGCUGUGGAAACCAGCAGGUGAUGAACUCAGUUGCCCCACUUCUCUGAACUGCAGGAGGAGUAAUGACAUACCCAAAGCAUGGCAGAAGAAAUCAUUGUCAGGUAAUCCAGCUUUGGAAAAGAACAAACAGUGAGAACAGCAUCAGAAGCUUUGAACAACGAAACACUCAUAUCAAGGAAUGCCAGUGGAAACACGAUCCUUCUGCAGCACAGAAAGGAUGUACAGACUUGAAUUCCUCCGUAGCCACAUGAAGCAGGAGUAAUUAGAACUGGCUGGACAAUUGCCAGCAGCGUGUUCUCAUUGAGAAAUAAAAUCCUGUUACAAUGUAAGUACUUAACUAGG
rnacentral:lncRNA from 1 species